GAUGAAGAACGUAGCGAAAUGCGAUACGUAAUGUGAAUUGCAGAAUUCAGUGAAUCAUCGAAUCUUUGAACGCACAUUGCGCCUGCCAGCACUCUGGCAGGCAUGCCUGUUCGAGCGUCAUUUCAACCAUCAAGCCCUAGGCUUGCGUUGGAGCCCUGCGGCUGCCGCAGGCCCCUAAAAGCAGUGGCGGGCUCGCUAUCACACCGAGUGCAGUAGAUUACUCUUCGCUCAGGGCGUGUGGCGGGUUCCAGCCGCGAAACCCCCUACUUCUCAAGGUUGACCUCGGAUCAGGUAGGAAUACCCGCUGAACUUAAGCAUAUCAAUAAGCGGAGGA
rnacentral:misc_RNA from 1 species